rnacentral:siRNA from 1 species
AAGGUUUCUCAAGUUUCGAGCAAG